AACGAACGCUGGCGGCAGGCCUAACACAUGCAAGUCGAGCGAGAACUUCGGUUCUAGCGGCGGACGGGUUAGUAACGCGUGGGAAUAUGCCCUUCACUACGGAAUAGUCCCGGGAAACUGGGUUUAAUACCGUAUACGCCCUUCGGGGGAAAGAUUUAUCGGUGAAGGAUUAGCCCGCGUUGGAUUAGGUAGUUGGUGGGGUAAUGGCCUACCAAGCCGACGAUCCAUAGCUGGUUUGAGAGGAUGAUCAGCAACACUGGGACUGAGACACGGCCCAGACUCCUACGGGAGGCAGCAGUAGGGAAUCUUCCACAAUGGGCGAAAGCCUGAUGGAGCAACGCCGCGUGCAGGAUGAAGGCCUUCGGGUUGUAAACUGCUUUUAUAAGUGAAGAAUAUGACGGUAACUUAUGAAUAAGGAUCGGCUAACUACGUGCCAGCAGCC
rnacentral:rRNA from 1 species